UCGGGUCUUAGUUUAUCCGAUCGGUGACUGGUUUGGUCGGAAUUGUAGCUUUUAUGUUCGAUUUGGUCUUGAAAAAAUCAAAAUUUAAUGACGAUUUUGGUCUGAAAAAUUCCACCAACACUCUAAUACCAGAUGUAAGAUGUGAAACUUGAUCACCAAAGUUCUUUCCAGGCUCAGAGCAUCGAAUCAAUCCACACCUCAAUGAAUAAAAUCGAACCAAAAACCCUUAACAUCUCACACUUAUGGUUGCUUAUUUUUAACCCACAAAGGACACACUAAAGAAGGUAUAAUCAAAGAUGCGAUCGGCCACUAAGGUAAGAAAGAGGAAAGAAAGCCGUGGACCAAGAAUCACAUAGAAGAACCACGAUUUUUCUCAAAAUGCAGACGAAUUAAUGAAAA
rnacentral:lncRNA from 1 species